rnacentral:tRNA from 1 species
GCGACACUAGAUCAGCUGGUAGAGUACAACCUUGUCAAGGUUGAGGCUAGUUUCUCGAAGAUCGGGAGCCUCGUGUGUCGCUCCA